GCUCCGGUAGUCCAAUCGGCAGAGACGAUACCCUCAAAAGGUAUUCAGUGUGGGUUCGAAUCCCACCCGGGGCACCU
rnacentral:tRNA from 1 species